rnacentral:rRNA from 1 species
GACGAACGCUGGCGGCGGGCUUAACACAUGCAAGUCGAACGGAAAGGCCCUGCUUUUGUGGGGUGUUCGAGUGGCGAACGGGUGUGUAACACGUGAGUAACCUGGCUUUGACUUUGGAAUAACUUCAGGAAACUGGGGCUAAUACCGGCUAGGAGCUCGUGCUGGAUGGUGGGGGUCGGAAAGUUUGGGCGGUUGGGGAUGGACUCGCGGUUUAUCAGCUUGUUGGUGGAGUAGUGGCUUACGAAGGCAUUGACGGAUAGCCGGCAUGGGAGGUGGAACAGCGACAAGACUACUGAGAGAGGGAGCAGACGCCAACGUUGGGCAGCAGUGGGAAGUAUUGCACAAUGGGGCGAAGCGUGAUGCAGCAGUGCUGCGAUCGGAAUGACGGCCUUGGGGUGGUAAAGCGCUUUAGCCUGUUACCAAGCUUGAUUGACGUUAAUGGGUAAAGAAGCACCGGCUAACUACGUG